CUUCAUUUUACUCACCUGAUGCAGUGGGCAGCUGUCAUCACCCAGUUGGUGGCAAUCAGGGUUCCCCCACAGGUGUGACUCCACUUGCCAUUGGAAUAGUAUUGAAGGGAGACCUGGGAUCAAGGAAACAAAUCAAGUUGCAAUGUGCUUCAGCAUGCCAGACUUCUUCAGCAAACCAGGCUCCAACCACUUUGAAGUGGAACUUCAAGCUUUGAAGCAAUGCUUCAAGCCAUACAAAGAAACAGCUGUCCAUGAAGAAGCUGAAUUGCUGGUAUGCUGUGGCCUGAACAGUUUUCCUUGGGCUCCAUGGGCGUCAGGCUGCUGGCAAUUCUGCCAGCAAAUAUCAAAUGGCUCAGCCUUCAGCUGAUACCAUGUUGGCUUGGAAAGAACCCCCUGGAAGCUCUUAUCAUCUUCAUGCCAGAUAUCUCACAGAAACUAAUCAGCUCAAGGAACUUUGGUGAGAGAGAGAAGGAGCUUCUGGUAUGUUCUGUUAAAGCAAACAGUAAAUAUCUCCCUCAAUACACAAUGUACAGUGUACAACUGAAAUGGA